CCAGCAGCCGCGGUAAUUCCAGCUCCAGUAGCGUAUAUUAAAGUUGUUGCAGUUAAAAAGCUCGUAGUUGGAUGUCUGGCGUGAGGCCACCGGCCGGCCGGCGAUAGCCGGGUUCGUGCGGGCUGGCCUCCGCCAUCCUUGCGGAAAGCGCGCCUGCCCUUUGCUGGGUGGGGCGCGUGCUCCGCAUCAUUUACUUUGAAAAAAUUAGAGUGUUCAAAGCAGGCUUGCCGCUGUGAAUACAUUAGCAUGGAAUAAUGAGAUAGGACUUGGGUCUUAUUUCGUUGGUUUCUGAGACCGAAGUAAUGAUUGAUAGGGACAGUUGGGGGUGCUAGUAUUCAGCGGCC
rnacentral:rRNA from 1 species